GGACGGUAGGAAUGUUUUAAUUGAGAAAUUUGUUUUAAUUACAUUAGGUGAUAUCACAGUCUAUUUUACAAGUUCAGGGUAAGAGGAAGCGUGGACCGGUUACACAGAAAUCCAGUGAAAGGAUAAAAACCUACAACAUGAGAAAACGAAAAGGUUAACUUAAUGCCUCAAAAAGGAAACGCGUUGAGUUUGGUGUGAGUGGAAUGGGAGGUUUUUUAACAGGAUCCAUAGAAGUACAAAGGAGGAAACUAACAUAAUUUACAGUAUUGGUUCUGCAUGACCAUCGUUGGCCCGUUUUCAGAGACAGCCUCUGUUCCCCAACGCACCGCUGAGCAGAUGGUGCUGUCUCUGAGGGUUUGGUUGGGUCUGGUCAGAGAAGAAAGCAAAAUAACCGAUGGGCAAAGGUCACAACCCACGUUGAGGUGGUCCCCAGGGUCACCGCCUACAGGAGUGUCUUCCACUGGAUAGUCAGGAGGUUCUGCACCAAGAACUGCAUGGAGGAAAACUAAAACAGCUCCAAAAAGCCCCAUCUCAAACGUAGAAAAGUCUCACUCUGGAAGUGCUUACAAGAAGGUCGUCAUCAUAGAAUUUGGUUUCUAUAAUAACAUUACCGGUUAAAACGUUAGCUGACAUCAUCUGUGAUUCAGGUGCUGCCUCUAUCAAGGACUGCCAAGUGUUUGUGGAGUUAGGAAUCACAAAACCAAAUUCAAAGAACCAUUCUUCUAAACACUGCCCUUUGAAAUAAACUUUCUGUUCCAGUCGGAAUUUUUCCAUUUGCUCUGCUGAGGAAAAGUUUAACUCCCGAGACACUGCUUUGCACUUCAGGAUUUUUUUAGGAACUCGAGCUUCAUGCUCCACUCCAGGUACAGACAAAUCUUCUGUUCCUUGCCAGAGGAUUUUCCCAGUUUCUGCAUCCCGAAGAUUCAUCCAAUUUAGCUUGAAGCCCCGGAGGAUCUCCUUGGCCCGCUCGUCCGUGGCCGACAUGGUCCUGCCGCGCCGCGCCGCGGGCGGAGGGGGCUGCGCCGGGCUCGCCUGGCUGCGCGGGCCUGGGCGGGAGCGGCGCUGACAGCGGCGCCUCAGGACCC
rnacentral:lncRNA from 1 species